rnacentral:rRNA from 1 species
UGGGGAAUAUUGCGCAAUGGGCGAAAGCCUGACGCAGCGACGCCGCGUGAGGGACGAAGGCCUUCGGGUCGUAAACCUCUUUCAGCAGGGAAGAAGCGAAAGUGACGGUACCUGCAGAAGAAGCACCGGCUAACUACGUGCCAGCAGCCGCGGUAAUACGUAGGGUGCAAGCGUUGUCCGGAAUUAUUGGGCGUAAAGAGCUCGUAGGCGGCUUGUCACGUCUGCUGUGAAAACUCGGGGCUCAACCCCGAGCCUGCAGUGGAUACGGGCUAGCUAGAGUGCGGUAGGGGAGACUGGAAUUCCUGGUGUAGCGGUGAAAUGCGCAGAUAUCAGGAGGAACACCGGUGGCGAAGGCGGGUCUCUGGACCGAUACUGACGCUGAGGAGCGAAAGCGUGGGGAGCGAACAGGAUUAGAUACCU